rnacentral:pre_miRNA from 1 species
GUUGUGAGGAAUGUUGGCUGGCUCGAGGCUUUUCGAAACAAAGAUGUUCUUUUUUCUUUUUUUCCUUUUUUUUCAACUUGGAAAAGAAAAAAGAAAAGAAAAGAAAAGAAAAGCAAAGAAGAGAAAAGAAGAGAAAAGAAGAGAGAACUUUUAAGGCUUCGGACCAGGCUUCAUUCCCCUCAAC